AUUAUUGAUGAAGAUGAGAUGGUCGGUUAUAUCUUGAAUGGUUUAGAUUUCGAUUACAAUCCUAUUGUGUCUUCCAUCCUUGGUCUUACUAACCCCAUCAUCAUGAGUGAUCUAUAUGCUCAACUGCUGUCCUAUGAGA